GAUGAACGCUGGCGGCGUGCCUAAUACAUGCAAGUCGAGCGAACGGACGAGAAGCUUGCUUCUCUGAUGUUAGCGGCGGACGGGUGAGUAACACGUGGAUAACCUACCUAUAAGACUGGGAUAACCUCGGGAAACCGGAGCUAAUACCGGAUAAUAUUUUGAACCGCAUGGUUCAAAAGUGAAAGACGGUCUUGCUGUCACUUAUAGAUGGAUCCGCGCUGCAUUAGCUAGUUGGUAAGGUAACGGCUUACCAAGGCAACGAUGCAUAGCCGACCUGAGAGGGUGAUCGGCCACACUGGAACUGAGACACGGUCCAGACUCCUACGGGAGGCAGCAGUAGGGAAUCUUCCGCAAUGGGCGAAAGCCUGACGGAGCAACGCCGCGUGAGUGAUGAAGGUCUUCGGAUCGUAAAACUCUGUUAGUAGGGAAGAACAUAUGUGUAAGUAACUGUGCACAUCUUGACGGUACCUAAUCAGAAAGCCACGGCUAACUACGGG
rnacentral:rRNA from 1 species